GUCUGGAUGAUCAGGAUAAGACUGUUUAUGGUUCACAAAUGUUACCUUUCUAUUCCCCUCAGAUAAAAUUAGAAAUCUGUUUAGGGUGUUUGGAUCCAGAGUGAUAAUUUUUAAAAGUUUUAAGAAUCCAUCUCUGGUCUUUGGUUCUGGUUCUGAUUCACCAACUUCAAUGAAUCUUACUGACGUUUUUCUCCGUUUGUCUCUCAGGACAUCCUGUGUUUUGUCUCUGACCUCUGACACAGCUGCUGUCACGUCAUUAAAGAUUGUGUUUUUAUAGGAUAAAACUCUUUAAGAAUAUGAGUUCCUGUUAAUAUGCUAUUUAUUUCUGCUUCACUUUCUGUCAUUAUUGUUCUUACUGUGAGGCUCCAAAGACUCUGAGCCUGAGAAUCACAUUAGAUGAAAACAUUUGGUCCUCUCAACCCAGAUCAAAUAUUUUACUUUAUUUCCAGUUUCCUCUGUUAAGUCUGUGCAGGGUUAAGCAGGUUUCUCUUCCAAAAUGAUACUGAGCAGAACAUAUUAGAACAUUUUAAAACAAUGUCUUGUAUGGAUUUCAUGUGUUUAUGAUGCAAACAGACAUGUAACCACUGCAUGAAGUUUGGUGAGAAUUUUACAUUUUCAGGUAACAAAGAAGGAAUUUGACUUUUAAGUUGGUUCAGAAAAAAAAGACAUUUGGUCAACAAUUCACCAAAAUUAAGAAAACAUACUUAAUGUAAAAAAAUAAAAAA